AUUGAACGCUGGCGGCAGGCCUAACACAUGCAAGUCGAACGGAGUGGCGGACGGGUGAGUAAUGCAUAGGACUCUGCCUGGUCGCGGGGGAUAACGUCCGGAAACGGGCGCUAAUACCGCAUACUAUCAGAUGAGCCUAGGUCGGAUUAGGUAGUUGGUGGGGGAAAGGCCUACCAAGGCUACGAUCCGUAACUGGUCUGAGAGGAUGAUCAGUACCACUGGAACUGAGAAACGGUGCAGACGCAUGCGGUAGGCUGCAGUGGGGAAUAUUGGACAAAGGGCGAAAGCCUGAUCCAGCCAUGCCGCGUGUGUGAAGAAGGUCUUCGGAUUGUAAAGCACUUGAAGUUGGGAGGCGGUACCAACAGAAUAAGCACCGGCUAACUUCGUGCCAGCAGCCGCGGUAAUAC
rnacentral:rRNA from 1 species